rnacentral:rRNA from 1 species
AGAGUUUGAUCCUGGCUCAGGACGAACGCUGGCGGCGUGCUUAAUACAUGCAAGUCGAGCGAGGUUACUGUUUUGGAUCCCUUCGGGGUGAAGAAGCUUUAACCUAGCGGCGGACGGGUGAGUAACGCGUGGGUAACCUACCCCAAAGUCCGGGAUAACGGCGGGAAACCGCUGCUAAUACCGGAUGCCUUUACCUUGGGGCAUCUUGAGGUAAAGAAAGGUAACGCUUUGGGAUGGGCCCGCGUCCCAUUAGCUAGUUGGUGAGGUAACGGCUCACCAAGGCGACGAUGGGUAGCCGGCCUGAGAGGGUGGACGGCCACACUGGGACUGAGACACGGCCCAGACUCCUACGGGAGGCAGCAGUAGGGAAUAUUGCGCAAUGGACGGAAGUCUGACGCAGCGACGCCGCGUGAGCGAUGAAGGUCUUCGGAUCGUAAAGCUCUGUCCUUGGGGAAGAAGGCGAAAGCUUGACGGUACCCAAGAAGAAAGCCCCGGCUAACUACGUGCCAGCAGCCGCGGUAAUACGUAGGGGGCGAGCGUUGUCCGGAAUUACUGGGCGUAAAGGGUGCGUAGGCGGCCCUUUAAGUCGGAUGUGAAAGCCCGCGGCUUAACCGCGGAAUGGCAUUCGAAACUGGAGGGCUUGAGUGUCGGAGAGGGUAGUGGAAUUCCCAGUGUAGCGGUGAAAUGCGUAGAUAUUGGGAGGAACACCAGUGGCGAAGGCGACUACCUGGACGAUAACUGACGCUGAGGCACGAAAGCUAGGGGAGCAAACAGGAUUAGAUACCCUGGUAGUCCUAGCCGUAAACGAUGGGUACUAGGUGUGGGUGGUUUCGAUACCAUCCGUGCCGUAGUUAACGCAUUAAGUACCCCGCCUGGGGAGUACGUGCGCAAGCAUGAAACUCAAAUGAAUUGACGG